rnacentral:rRNA from 1 species
GACGAACGCUGGCGGCGUGCUUAACACAUGCAAGUCGAACGGAAAGGCCCUGCUUUUGUGGGGUGCUCGAGUGGCGAACGGGUGAGUAACACGUGAGUAACCUGCCCUUGACUUUAGGAUAACUUCAGGAAACUGGGGCUAAUACCGGAUAGGAGCUCCGGCUGCAUGGUGGGGGUUGGAAAGUUUCGGCGGUUGGGGAUGGACUCGCGGCUUAUCAGCUUGUUGGUGGGGUAGUGGCUUACCAAGGCUUUGACGGGUAGCCGGCCUGGGAGGGUGACCGGCAACAUUGGGACUGAGAUACGGCCCAGACUCCUACGGGAGGAAGCAGUGGGGAAUAUUGCACAAUGGGCGGAAGCCUGAUGAAGAAACGCCGCGUGCGGGAUGACGGCCUUCGGGUUGUAAACCGCUUUCGCCUGUGACGAAGCGUGAGUGACGGUAAUGGGUAAAGAAGCACCGGCUAACUACGUG